GAACAACCCUCCUGGAAAGCUGCUGAUAUGCAGGCUUUAACUGCAGGAUAAGAAUAAAGAGACACUAUCUCUCCAGAUGGAGGGUUGGGUACCUCUGCCUUCAGCAAAAUGCAUAGGUGGGCCAUGAGACACAUUUGAGUUAGUCAGGGAAGACCCUGUUGUGUGUGUGUGUGUGUGUAUCUGUUCUGAUAUGUAUGUAUCUCCCUCAGGUUGGGAGGUAGUGGGGAAUCAUAUCUGCAGUGGCGCACGGGGCUCUGAUAAUGACUACCUCAUCCUCAACCUCCACGUACCUGGCUUCAAAUAGGAGGGCUGUGUGUACAGAUAAUGUGACUGACCUAUCCAGCGCCGACUCUCAGAGAGAGACAGGGGAAUCAGCCAAUGUGGUGGAGAGUUUCAUCUGUCAAUCAACCAUCAUCCCCUCCAGUGGGCGGGGCUUCCGCACAUCACUAUCCUCCCAGUCCACCAGCUCAGCAGACACGUUCUUGGGUGAGUACACACAACAACACACUUUCCUUGUAACCUGAUACCAGUCUUU
rnacentral:lncRNA from 1 species